UGUGAACCAGCCAGACACAGAAUAAUCGGCUCCAUUUCAAAGGGCCGUGAGCUGCAGCGUCUUCCUGCAGACGGAGAAGGCGUUCAUUCCACAUGAUGCCAGCGGAAACACUGCAGUGAAAAGCGCUGAUGGCGGCCAAACAGCUACGCAAACCACCAGAGGAGCCAAACCUCGGCUACGGCGUGAAGGAGAACCGUCGACAAACCAAUGCGAGAAAGAUACGUUAAAAGAGAACCACACACAGUGACACCUGCCCAUCAGUAACUACCAUCCACACACUGUAGUCGCAGCUACAGGAGCAUGUUGGGUUAAGCGUCUUGCCCAAGGACACAUCGACAUGCGGGUUAGCCGGGCCUGGGAUGGAACCGACAACCCUCUGAUCGGAGGACGACCGUGCUCCCCACUGCACAGUCGCCCACGGCCAGGUGAAUUGUGUCGUUGUUUGUAGAUUGUCGUUGUUCUUCUCCGUGUGUGCCAAUCCCACAUGUCUCUUUAAUCGGGUCCAGCGUACAUCCAGGACAUGGUCAAACCCGACAUCCCAACCCGCACUCUCCGCUCUGCAUCUGCAACACUGCUCGUCCCUCCCUCACUGAGAGCAAAACACUCGACUAGGUCUCGACUCUUUGCUGUCCUUGCGCCGAAAUGGUGGAACGAGCUCUCUGAAGACA
ensembl:lncRNA